UCUGCUCUCUCUUGCGAAGCUUGGCUUAAGCUUUCACACUCUCUCGACCUCUCCGUUCGCUGCCCUCUCUCGCCCUCUCAUCUCCGACGACGAGAACCAGAACAGACCGUCAUUUCCGCCGCCGCUCUUCCUUCUCCGACUAUGACAACCGACAGCCACCGCCAAAGCCUCAGCCACACUCGUCGCCGCCCUUCCUUCGUCGGAGCUGCCUCACUCGCCACCGCCACCACCCCGUAGCUGCCGAUUCCAAAAAUAACCGGUAAGUUUAUUUUUAUAUGGAUAGAGGGCAACUGUCCACUUGUCGAGCAAGGAGCCAAGGAAGAAGACGGUUCACACUACCUCUAAACUCUUGAUUCUUACAUUAUAGGCUGUUUUGUUCGGGAAUAUGGAGCGAGGGGAGUUGACAGAGUAGGAGACUUCCAUCUACGAUCGUCAGAUGAUGGAAAAUACACUACUUCUGCUUUGUGUGGAUUUGUUCAUGCACAGGUUACAGAACUGAAGGUUCAGAGAUUCUGGUGUGCAAAUCGAAGAUGUUAUGCUGAACAUAGCACGGGUUUAAUUGAGCUUGAGUUUAAGGAUCUGGAGAAAGUUCUGGAGCCUUUAUUUUACCACUGGAAACAGAAGAGACAAUCAAGAACUUAGGCAUUUGGUGACUUCACAACCGCAUGGUAAGAAGAAAAAAAUGUUAUCGUUGGUGUGUGUGUUUAUUUAUUUUUAUUUUUUUUUGUGGGGGUGGUUGGCUCUAUUACUCUUGGUAGUUGAGAAUCUCUAUCUCAUAUAAGCAUACAUGUUUUUUUUUUUGUGAUGACAUGAAUUAAUGUGGUUUAUAACUCGUGCCAAUGUGGUUUAUAACUCGUGAGCAUGAGUUCCUCAAGGAGAUCGGAAUCGGCCCUACAAACCUCAGCUGCUACGUCAAUGGGGCGUGGAAGGCUAGUGGACCUACGGUCUCCACUGUAAAUCCGGCCAACAAUGAGCCGAAGUUGUUGAAGCUUCAAUUGAAGAUUAUGAAGAAGGCAUGCAGGCUUGUAACGAAACAGCAAAGCUGUGGAUGCAGAUUCCAGCACCAAAAAGAGGUGAUAUUGUUAGGCAGAUUGGUGAUGCACUUAGAGCAAAACUUCACUACUUUGGCUGACUUGUUCACUUGAAAUGGGGAAAAUACUACCCGAAGGAAUUGGAGAGGUUCAAGUCUACACUUGAUCAACUUCAUUGAAGAGGUUGUGGAUGCUGCAUUGAUCAAAGCCAUUGAAGCAGUGCCGGAUUUGAAGGCUUAUUUGGGUGCAGCGAGCAUACUUAUGUAGUAUCAAAUAAGUAUAUUUUCAUACUUAAGUAGUACGGAGUAUCAAUCAAGUAGUAUAUAUUUUUUAUGUUUUUUUUUAUGAA